ACGCUGGCGGCACGCCUAACACAUGCAAGUCGAACGAAGUAGCAAUACUUAGUGGCAGACGGGUGAGUAACAUGUAGGUAUCUGCCCUUUGGCCUGGAAUAACACGAGGAAACUUGUGCUAAUACCGGAUAAGUCUUUACGGAGAAAGCUUUAUGCACCAUUGGAUGAGCCUGCACUUGAUUAGUUUGUUGGUGGGGUAAUGGCCUACCAAGACUGUGAUCAAUAGCUGAUUUGAGAGGAUGAUCAGCCACAUUGGGACUGAGACACGGCCCAAACUCCUACGGGAGGCAGCAGUGGGGAAUCUUGCACAAUGGAGGAAACUCUGAUGCAGCGAUGCCGCGUGAGUGAAGAAGGCCCUUGGGUUGUAAAGCUCUUUCGUCGGGGAAGAAAAUGACUGUACCCGAAUAAGAAGGUCCGGCUAACUUCGUGCCAGCAGCCGCGGUAAUACGAAGGGACCUAGCGUAGUUCGGAAUUACUGGGCUUAAAGAGUUCGUAGGUUGUUGAAAAAGUUGGUGGUGAAAUCCCAGAGCUUAACUCUGGAACUGCCAUCAAAACUUUUCAGCUAGAGUAUGAUAGAGGAAAGCAGAAUUUCUAGUGUAGAGGUGAAAUUCGUAGAUAUUAGAAAGAAUACCAAUUGCGAAGGCAGCUUUCUGGAUCAUUACUGACACUGAGGAACGAAAGCAUGGGUAGCGAAGAGGAUUAGAUACCCUCGUAGUCCAUGCCGUAAACGAUGUGUGUUAGACGUUGGAAAUUUAUUUUCAGUGUCGCAGCGAAAGCGAUAAACACACCGCCUGGGGAGUACGACCGC
rnacentral:rRNA from 1 species